rnacentral:rRNA from 1 species
AUUGAACGCUGGCGGCAGGCUUAACACAUGCAAGUCGAGCGGGGUGAUGGUGCUUGCACUAUCACUUAGCGGCGGACGGGUGAGUAAUGCUUAGGAAUCUGCCUAUUAGUGGGGGACAACAUCUCGAAAGGGAUGCUAAUACCGCAUACGUCCUACGGGAGAAAGCAGGGGAUCACUUGCGACCUUGCGCUAAUAGAUGAGCCGAAGUCGGAUUAGCUAGUUGGCGGGGUAAAGGCCUACCAAGGCGACGAUCUGUAGCGGGUCUGAGAGGAUGAUCCGCCACACGGGGACUAAGACACGGCCCAGACUCCUACGGGAGGCAGCAGUGGGGAAUAUUGGACAAUGGGGGGAACCCUGAUCCAGCCAUGCCGCGUGUGUGAAGAAGGCCUUAUGGUUGUAAAGCACUUUAAGCGAGGAGGAGGCUCUUUUGGUUAAUACCCAAGAUGAGUGGACGUUACUCGCAGAAUAAGCACCGGCUAACUCUGUGCCAGCCGCCGCAGUAA